UGAAAAGUUCACAGCAUGAAACAACAGAGUGGAGUGAUUCAGUCACACUGACAGUUUCUGACAAUGAACCCCGUCCUGUCCUCACUGUGUCUCCAUCAUGGCUGAGUCCUGGAGCCUCAGUAACUCUGAACUGUGAGGUUGAACAUCCGUCUGCAGGAUGGAGCUUCUACUGGUAUAAAGCUGUUCCUGAUCUAUCAGAGAAAUCCUACAGUUAUGAGCUGCUACCUGAUGGCAGUGGGACUGCACAGGACUCCUACAUCAUUCAUGGACAGACACACACAGCAGGAUAUGUGUGCAGAGCUGGAAGAGGAGACCCAGAGUAUCACACUGAUCACAGUCAACCAAAGUUUGUCUGGUCUGCAGAUGUUCAUUCAGCAGCGUCUCUCACAGUGAGUCCUGACAGAGUGCAACACUUCACCUCUGACUCUGUCUCACUGACCUGUGAGGGAAACUUCACUGAGUGGAGAGUGAGGAAGUUCUCUGAGGACGGCCGA